CCUACGGGUGGCAGCAGUGGGGAAUAUUGCACAAUGGGGGGAACCCUGAUGCAGCAACGCCGCGUGGGUGAAGAAGUACUCCGGUAUGUAAAGCCCUGUCAGCAGGGAAGAAAAUGACGGUACCUGACCAAGAAGCCCCGGCUAACUACGUGCCAGCAGCCGCGGUAAUACGUAGGGGGCAAGCGUUAUCCGGAUGUACUGGGUGUAAAGGGAGCGUAGUCGGGAAGGCAAGUCUGGAGGGAAAGCCCGGGGCCCAACCACGGGACUGCUUUGGAAACUGUGUUGCUGGAGUGCAGGAGGGGUAGGCGGAAUUCCUGGUGUAGCGGUGAAAUGCGUAGAUAUUAGGAGGAACACCGGUGGCGAAGGCGGCUUACUGGACUGUAACUGACGUUGAGGCUCGAAGGCGUGGGGAGCAAACAGGAUUAGAUACCCUGGUAGUC
rnacentral:rRNA from 1 species